GAUGAACGCUGGCGGCGUGCUUAAUACAUGCAAGUCGAGCGAACGGACGCGGAGCUUGCUUCGCUGAUGUUAGCGGCGGACGUGUGAGUAACACGUGGAUAACCUACCUGUAAGACUGGGAUAACUUCGAGAAACCGGAUCUAAUACCGGAGAAGAUUUUGAACCGCAUGGUUGAAUAGUAAAAGACGGUCGUGCGGUAACGUAUAGAUGGAUCCGAGCUGCAUGAGCUGGUUGGGAAGGUAACGGCUUACGAAGGGAACGAUGCAUAACCGACCUCCGGGGGUGAUAGGCCACCCUGGAGCUGGGCCAGGCUCCAGACUCCUACGGGAGGCCGCAGUAGGGAAUCUUCCGCAACGGGCGGGAGCCUGACGCAGCGACGCCGAGUGAGUGAUGACGGUCUUCGGAUCGUAAAACUCUCUUAUUAGGGAUGAACCUAUGUGUACGUAACUGUGCCCAUCUUGACGGUACCUAAUCAGAAAGCCCCGGCUAACUACGUG
rnacentral:rRNA from 1 species